rnacentral:rRNA from 1 species
AUUGAACGCUGGCGGCAGGCCUAACACAUGCAAGUCGAGCGGAUGACGGGAGCUUGCUCCUUGAUUCAGCGGCGGACGGGUGAGUAAUACCUAGGAAUCUGCCUGAUAGUGGGGGACAACGUUUCGAAAGGAACGCUAAUACCGCAUACGUCCUACGGGAGAAAGCAGGGGACCUUCGGGCCUUGCGCUAUCAGAUGAGCCUAGGUCGGAUUAGCUAGUUGGUGAGGUAAUGGCUCACCAAGGCGACGAUCCGUAACUGGUCUGAGAGGAUGAUCAGUCACACUGGAACUGAGACACGGUCCAGACUCCUACGGGAGGCAGCAGUGGGGAAUAUUGGACAAUGGGCGAAAGCCUGAUCCAGCCAUGCCGCGUGUGUGAAGAAGGUCUUCGGAUUGUAAAGCACUUUAAGUUGGGAGGAAGGGCAGUAAGUUAAUACCUUGCUGUUUUGACGUUACCGACAGAAUAAGCACCGGCUAACUUCGUGCCAGCCGCCGCGGUAAGAC